AGCAGGAAGAGAAGCUCAGGCUCCAUUUAGUCGCUGAAGAACAAAAAGAAGAAAUUGUGUCAGAAUUAAAGACUGACUGAAGUCCAGAAGAUGGAGAACAGUCAUCGAAAGAGGAAAAGAGCAGAACCUCCAGGAUCCAGCUGUCCGUCUAUGAGGACUGACCGGUCCAAAGAUUACCAUCCAGGCUUCAGUGAAGAACCUGGACCCUCAGACUCAGAACUGACUGAAGUCCAGAAGAUGGAGAACAGUCAUCGAAAGAGGAAAAGAGCAGAACCUCCAGGAUCCAGCUGUCCGUCUAUGAGGACUGACCGGUCCAAAGAUUACCAUCCAGGCUUCAGUGAAGAACCUGGACCCUCAGAC